rnacentral:lncRNA from 1 species
GGCAGUACCUGGAUCCGGCCCAGCGUGGCGUCCGCGUCCUCGAGGUGGCCUCGGGCUCCGGCCAGCACGCAGCGCACUUCGCGCGGGCCUUCCCCCUGGCCGAGUGGCAGCCGUCGGACGUGGACCAGCGCUGCCUGGACAGCAUCGCGGCCACCACGCAAGCCCAGGGCCUGACCAACGUGAAGGCCCCGCUACACCUGGACGUGACGUGGGGCUGGGAGCACUGGGGCGGGAUCCUGCCACAGUCGCUGGACCUGUUGCUCUGCAUCAACAUGGCCCAUGUCAGCCCCCUGCGCUGCACGGAGGGGCUCUUCAGAGCAGCAGGACACCUGCUCAAACCCAGGGCCCUGCUCAUCACCUACGGGGAACCCAGAAUGGGGGCUUCGGGACACAGCCCUCCUGGAGGACCUGGGAAAGGCCAGUGGCCUGCUCCUGGAGAGGAUGGUAGGUGGGGGAGCGGGGGCCCAGGCAACCUCUCUAGGGGUUGAGGGCCGUCCUC